rnacentral:rRNA from 1 species
GAAGAUUACAUUUCUAGAAUUAGUUAGAGGGUACUGGAAUUCAAUGUGUAGUGGUGGAAUACGUAGAUAUAUUGAGGAACACCAGAGGCUAAGGCGAGUGCCUGGAACAUAAUUGACGCUGAGGCUUGAAAGCGUGGGUAGCAAAUGGGAUUAGAUACCCCAGUAGUCCACGCCGUAAACGAUGGGUAUUAGUCAUUUGGAUUUAAGACUGAGUGAUGUAGCUAACGCGUUAAAUACCCCGCCUGGGUAGUAUAUAUGCAAAUAUGAAACUCAAAGAAAUUGACGGGGACCUGAACAAGUGGUGGAGCAUGUUGCUUAAUUCGAUUCUACACGCAAAACCUUACCGAGGCUUGCAAUCCUCCGCAACGCUAUAUAAAUAUAGUUGAGGUUAUCGGAGUGACAGGUGGUGCAUGGCUGUCGUCAGCUCGUGUCUUGAGAUGUUUGGUUAAGUCCCGUAACGAGCGCAACCCUUCUUAUUAGUUGCUUAGUUCUAAUAAGACUGAAUCGUAAGAUCUAGGAAGGAUGGGGCCAAGUCAAGUCAUCAUGCCCCUUAUGCCUCGGGCUGCAAACGUGCUACAAUGGUAGAUACAAUGUGUGACAAUCUAGCGAUAGUGAGUCAAUCACCUAAAGUCUAUCUCAGUCCGGAUAAAAGGCUGCAAUUCGCCUAUUUGAAGAUGGAAUCACUAGUAAUCCUGUGUCAGCUAUAUCAGGGUGAAUACGUUCCCAGGUCUUGUACACACCGCCCGUCAAACUACGAAAGAAAGUACUAAUUAAAACCGUAUUUAAUUACGUCUAGAUU